rnacentral:rRNA from 1 species
CCUACGGGUGGCAGCAGUGGGGAAUAUUGGACAAUGGGGGAAGCCCUGAUCCAGCGACGCCGCGUGAGUGAAGACGUAUUUCGGUACGGUAAGCUCUAUCAGCAGGAAAGAAAAUGACGGUACCUGACUAAGAAGCCCCGUCUAACUACGUGCCAGCAGCCGCGGUAAUACGUAGGGGGCAAGCGUUAUCCGGAUUUACUGGGGUUAAAGGGAGCGUAGGCGGCAGCGCAAGUCUGGAGUGAAAUGCCGGGGCCCAACCCCGGAACUGCUGUGGAAACUGGGAAGCUGGAGUGCAGGAGAGGUAAGCGGAAUUCCUGGUGUAGCGGUGAAAUGCGUAGAGAUCAGGAUGAACACCGGCGGCGAAGGCGGCUUACUGGACUGUAACUGACGUUGAGGCUCGAAGGCGUGGGUAGCAAACAGGAUUAGAUACCCGGGUAGUC